UCUCUCCAUUCUCUAGUCUUCAGAAGCUCUGCGUCUCAACCAAGGAGGAGAAGAAGUCAUGGAAUACAUCAAGAACCUAGCCGCCAACCACCCCUGUGUCGUCCCUAGAAGAUUGCUUGCUUUCAAGGAUCUUCAAGUUCUUCAUCUCAAGGCUUUGUCAUUCAUCUUUCACGUGUACCCUCAAUCCCCGGCUUGAACGAUCCCUACUUAUUCUAUACUGACAACUACAUUUUGCAGGGUUAAAUUGCGCGCUUCUUUUUAGUGUGUCACUUUCUUGCCAAACCAAGCAGCACACGUGCCUUCCAUCUAAUUAACCUCCAAGCUUUUUCUCUUCUUGCCCUCACAAGCACGUUCAGCCACAUAUAUAUAGAACCCAACACCACAAUUCGAGGGGACAACCUACAGCAGCGCCGCACCAAAAACAGGGCAGCCCUUUGGGCUGCUCUCAUUCCUCUCCUCCUUCUCUAUUUUCCAGAUUUUUGUUAGUUUUAUUUUAGAGAAUUGAAGAAUUACUCACCUAAAGCUUCAAGGAUUCAUCAAAGGCCUUUACCUCUACAAGAUUCAAGACUUGGGGUUAAAUUGCGCGCUUUUUUUUAGUGUGUCACUUUCUUGCCAAACCAAGCAGCACACGUGCCUUCCAUCUAAUUAACCUCCAAGCUUUUUCUCUUCUUGCCCUCACAAGCACGUUCAGCCACAUAUAUAUAGAACCCAACACCACAAUUUGAGGGGACAACCUACAGCAGCGCCGCACCAAAAACAGGGCAGCCCUUUGGGCUGCUCUCAUUCCUCUCCUCCUUCUCUAUUUUCCAGAUUUUUGUUAGUUUUAUUUUAGAGAAUUGAAGAAUUACUCACCUAAAGCUUCAAGGAUUCAUCAAAGGCCUUUACCUCUACAAGAUUCAAGACUUGGGUAAUUGUUGGAGUUGUAAUUCAAGACUAGUCAUGCUAGCUUUUUAUCUAGUUGUGAUUAUUCUUGUUUUCUCCUACACUUCUAUACUCUUUUCCCUAUGAAUUUUGUAUCUUUGAUGUUCAUAUGGGUUGUGAGUAAUUUUCUUGUUGGGGGUUAGGGUUGUGUCCCUAACCCAAAUUUUGUGUAAAAGAUGUUUAAUUUAAUGUAAUGAUGC